GAGAAGGAAGCUGCUGCACAUUGAAAGACCUGGGAAGCCAGGAUUUCAUUUUUACUCCCUUACAGUUCAUGGGGCCAAUGAGUUCUCACGGCAUGCUCAAAGGCACUGAUUGUGCGAAAUAAAUGCCCGUAAGAAAAGGAA